rnacentral:rRNA from 1 species
CAGUAGCCGCGGUAAUACGUAGGUGGCAAGCGUUGUCCGGAAUUAUUGGGCGUAAAGGGCUCGCAGGCGGUUUCUUAAGUCUGAUGUGAAAGCCCCCGGCUCAACCGGGGAGGGUCAUUGGAAACUGGGAAACUUGAGUGCAGAAGAGGAGAGUGGAAUUCCACAUGUAGCGGUGAAAUGCGUAGAGAUGUGAAGGAACACCAGUGGCGAAGGCGACUCUCUGGUCUGUAACUGACGCUGAGGAGCGAAAGCGUGGGGAGCGAACAGGAUUAGAUACCCCCGUAGUCCCUGUCUCUUAUAA